AUUCCAGACUCCUACGGGAGGCAGCAGUGAGGAAUAUUGGUCAAUGGGCGAGAGCCUGAACCAGCCAAGUCGCGUGAGGGAAGACUGCCCUAUGGGUUGUAAACCUCUUUUGUCAGGGAGCAACGCCGGCUACGUGUAGCCGGACUGAGAGUACCUGAAGAAAAAGCAUCGGCUAACUCCGUGCCAGCAGCCGCGGUAAUACGGAGGAUGCGAGCGUUAUCCGGAUUUAUUGGGUUUAAAGGGUGCGUAGGCGGAAGGUUAAGUCGGCGGUCAAAUGUCGGUGCUCAACACCGGCCUGCCGUUGAAACUGGUCUUCUUGAGUGAGCGAGAAGUAUGCGGAAUGCGUGGUGUAGCGGUGAAAUGCAUAGAUAUCACGCAGAACUCCGAUUGCGAAGGCAGCAUACCGGCGCUCAACUGACGCUGAGGCACGAAAGCGUGGGGAUCGAACAGGAUUAGAUACCCGGGUAG
rnacentral:rRNA from 1 species